UACGUAGGGUGCGAGCGUUAAUCGGAAUGACUGGGCGUAAAGGGUGCGUAGGCGGUUUGCUAAGACGGAUGUGAAAUCCCUGGGCUCAACCUAGGAACAGCAUACGUGACUGGCAGGCUAGAGUAUCGAAGAGGGGGGUAGAAUUCCACGUGUAGCAGUGAAAUGCGUAGAGAUGUGGAGGAAUACCGAUGGCGAAGGCAGCCCCCUGGGCCAAUACUGACGCUCAUGCACGAAAGCGUGGGGAGCAAACAGG
rnacentral:rRNA from 1 species